rnacentral:lncRNA from 1 species
GAACGAUGGAGUCAACAGAUCUCGGGCUUCGACGUAGUGGGUUCAGUGUGGCUGAGUAUGCAAUAUCUCUCCCUAUAAAAAGCCUAACCCCAUCUCUCACUGCUCCUCUUACAAUCAAAAUUUUCAUUUUACUGUGAUUCCAAUUCUUCCUUGCCUCUCUGUCUCCAUACAAAAACAAAACCAUGGAGGAAAAAGAAAAGAGGAAGCUUUCAAAGAAGAAACCAACCCACAAUCUUCCACAAGGUAUGGUAAACUAAAAAGUUUUCCGAUCACAACUUAAAUUUCAUCUCGUAUUAUUAUCUUCCAAUUUAAUCAAUUCAGGUUCAGGUUCGAGGAUUUAGGAUUUAGGGUUAGUUUAAAUUAAAACUAAAUAAAUUACAUUUUUUUAUUUAUUUUCAUCUAAUUUUUUUUCUCUUUUUUUUUUCAGGUCAUCUAGGGCUGAUGCAUGGCAAAUCUUAUAUGAAAAUGGCUUCUUCUUCGUCAUAAUCUGGUGCUAUCCUACCUGAGCUUGUCUUCUUUCUUUCUUUCUUUUUUUACUUAUUUAAUUAUAUAUAAAUAAAUAAUAUCUUCUUGACCUUGUAAGACCUUUUGUUGGGCAUGUAAAAGGCAGUCCAGUAUUUGGUGUUAUAGUAGUGGUUGGGCAUUGUUCUACACCAUUGCCACCCAUCUCUUCUUCUCCCUCCUUGUCUAUCCCUCCUGAGCUGAACUUUUUCACCUUUGUAAUAACACUUCUGCUGUUCUUUUUCAUUUAUUAAGAGUAAAAGCUUUCACUUUCUUGUUUGGGUUGAGGCUAUGAAGGCCAUCAUAAAUUCAAUUUUGUUACUAUAUGUGCAGAGAGAAUAUAUAUAUACAAACACACAUACAUGUAUGCUUUUGCAGGCAUCGGUUUCGUUGUUUUAUAUGUUGUUGGGGGUGGAAAGUGAGAGAAUAAUUAAAUAAUACGAAUAAUAUUUGAUUGUUUGUAAAAAAAGAAAAUGAAUAUUAA